AUGCCAUGACGUGGGCAUUUCUUUAGUAAUUCAUUGUACCUUUCCCAAGUAUGAAACACUGCUUCAUCAUCCAUUUGUCUAAAAAGACAAAUUUCAUUUUUGAACUU